rnacentral:rRNA from 1 species
AAAACCGUACCUGGAAACGGAGGCUAAUACCGGAUGUGGCGCCUGGCGGCAUCGCCGGAGCGUCAAAGGGGGCCCGCAAGGGCUCUCGCCUGGGGAGGGGCUCGCGCACCAUCAGCUUGUUGGCGGGUAACGGCCACCAAGGCUUACGGUUAGCUGGUCUGAGAGGAUGACCAGCCCCACUGGGACUGAGAUACUGCCCAGACUCCUACGGGAGGCUGCAGUCGAGGAUCAUUUGCAAUGGGCGAAAGCCUGACAAUGCGACGCUGCCGUGGAGGAUGAAGGCCUUCGGGUUGUAAACUCCUGUCAGUGGGGAACAGGCGAGGGGACCCAACACGUCCCUUAGUUGAGUCGUACCCAAGAGGAAUUGGCGGCUAACUCUGUGCCAGCAGCGGC